rnacentral:piRNA from 1 species
AACAAACGGACGAGGACGAGGAC